GUUUUAAUUCUUCAAAAUAUUGUAACCCGAAUCGCUCAUCCCAACCACAAUCCAAUAGUAUAUAAUCACCAUCCACUUGUAAAAGGUAACAAAGAGGUCCUUCGUCUUUUGCACCGGAAAACACUUUCAAUUUGAUAAUGGAGGUCAUUUGAUGUGUCUUUUAGG
rnacentral:sRNA from 1 species